GCCAGCCGUACAGCCCCCACUCUCCUAAAGCGGGUGUCGCAUGUUCGAAUCAUGCCGGGGGCA
rnacentral:tRNA from 1 species